GUCUACGGCCAUACCUCCCUGACCGUGCCCGAUCUCGUCUGAUCUCGGAAGCUAAGCAGGGUCGGGCCUGGUUUUACUUGGAUGGGAGAUUUGGCGUUAGGUACAUUAACUGUAAACA
rnacentral:rRNA from 1 species